rnacentral:rRNA from 1 species
AGAGUUUGAUCCUGGCUCAGAACGAACGCUGGCGGCGCGUCUUAAGCAUGCAAGUCGAACGGCAAGAGAGGAGCUUGCUUCUCUCCUAGAGUGGCGGACUGGUGAGGAACACGUGGGUAAUCUACCCUUAAGAUGGGGAUAGCUGCUAGAAAUAGCAGGUAAUACCGAAUACACUCGGCAUAUCACAAGAGAUGUUGAGGAAAGGAAGCUACGGCUUCGCUUGAGGAUGAGCUUGCGUCCCAUUAGCUAGUUGGUGAGGUAAAGGCCCACCAAGGCGACGAUGGGUAUCCGGCCUGAGAGGGUGAACGGACACAUUGGGACUGAGAUACGGCCCAAACUCCUACGGGAGGCAGCAGCUAAGAAUAUUCCGCAAUGGACGGAAGUCUGACGGAGCGACGCCGCGUGGAUGAAGAAGGCUGAAAAGUUGUAAAAUCCUUUUGUUGAUGAAGAAUAAGGGUGAGAGGGAAUGCUCAUCUGAUGACGGUAAUCGACGAAUAAGCCCCGGCUAAUUACGUGCCAGCAGCCGCGGUAACACGUAAGGGGCGAGCGUUGUUCGGAAUUAUUGGGCGUAAAGGGCAUGUAGGCGGCUAUGUAAGCCUGAUGUGAAAUCCUGGGGCUUAACCCUAGAAUAGCAUUGGGUACUGUAUAGCUUGAAUUACGGAAGGGAAACUGGAAUUCCAAGUGUAGGGGUGGAAUCUGUAGAUAUUUGGAAGAACACCGGUGGCGAAGGCGGGUUUCUGGCCGAUAAUUGACGCUGAGAUGCGAAAGUGUGGGGAUCGAACAGGAUUAGAUACCCUGGUAGUCCACACUGUAAACGAUGUACACUAGGUGUUGGGGCAAGAGCUUCAGUGCCAAAGCAAACGCGAUAAGUGUACCGCCUGGGGAGUAUGCCCGCAAGGGUGAAACUCAAAGGAAUUGACGGGGGCCCGCACAAGCGGUGGAGCAUGUGGUUUAAUUCGAU